rnacentral:lncRNA from 1 species
CGCAGCAUGACAGCUAUACUACGUAUCCGCAGCUGCAGCAGUGUGGGGUAUAGUCCUGUUCAGCUCCCUGCAGCAGAAAAAUAAUGAAGCCCUACCUAAUAAUAAGCAAAACACCCCUCCAUGAUGACACGAUAUGGCGGCCGCAGCAGCAGAGUUUGGUACUGCUAAUAAUAAUAGCAACAACAGUAAUGUACAUCCAUCAGCUUAUUGUUGCCGUUGCCACCACUCAACAAAAGCUACAACAGAUACAACUACUACGACUACUACUAGCAAUAUACCUCUUUUUUUGUCUUAUCACAGAGCAGCACACAGAAGAGCACAUACACGUCUGUAUACAUCUGUGUACAGAGACGCGGCGUGUCGUGCACACAUGUACUAUUAGUACACAUCUCCUAAACGUUCAUCUUCAACGGCGCACUGCCCAAAAAGAUACGCCGCUUGACAUGCUUAUAAUUAUAAGGUUGGGAGGAAAGUCGUGGGGGUGGGGAGACGGUGGAGGUAUAGUAGCGAGACGGUGGAGGACGUGGUGGAGAGACACAGAUACGCCGAUACGGAGAGGACGGAGAGGGUUUGGUGAUAUUUCUGGGAAUGGACACAGAGCGACACAGAGUGACCGACAGCAGGGCAGCAGGAGGGGGACGGACUCUGACACAGAGAGAUUGUUCGUGAUGUAAUUAUUCAUCGUCAUCAUCAUCAUCGUCAUCGUCAUCGUCAUCAUCCUCCUCCAUCUGCAGGAGAUGUUCCACUGAUGCUAUUAUUAUAUCUAUAUGUCUAAUACAGCAGCAGCUUUAGCAAAAGAGCGUCCUUGACGUAAUUAAUAAGGACACGCCUUUGCAGAAAGUAUAAGGACACGCCUGACAAGAUAUACGUGCUCUGCUGUGAUACGUGCUGAAAAAUAGGAGUUAGUUCCAGAAGUGCUAAAUUAUAUGUAUGUACUUCUUUGUCGUCCAACAACUACUGGUGGGCGCAAUCUAUAAUAAUGAUGAUGAUGCUAAAUGAUGAUGAUGCUAAAUAUCACGCAGAGAAGAACAGAGAAUAGAGCACAACAACCACCAAUACAACAACCCCGCGAAUCGCGCUUUGUCGUAUAUUAGUAAUAAAGUGCGCCGCCCCUACUUCUCACCGCUCGCCGACGACAAACAGACAAUUGAAAUGAGACCGUCACAGCGAGAGCUAUCAGGACGUUUUUAAAAUUUUAUUUAUGGAGCAGGCGCCAAGUAGAAAACAAGCCGCGAAGAAGCAGAAGACGACAUGUGUCUAAUGCGCGCGAGCCACGGAACAAGACAAAUACCAAUCAAUAGACCGCAACAAAAGCACAAAGAAACAGCUUUAGCGUCCUUGAAAGGACACGUCUGCAGUAAGGGCGAUUCACAAGAAGGUUGUAGAAUAUAGCCUAACGCUGCCUGGUCCGAGGCAUCGGCUACUCCGCCCGGAGUGGUGAGUGAGUCUGUGCUAAGACAAAGAGUAAAAUUGCAGUACGAAUGCGCAAUUGGUGAUCGCGGGUUCAAGCCACGGCUGAUGCAACUGCGGUUGCGAUUUGGUGGGUUCUUCGCUGACGUGGUAUAUUAUUAACCGACUUGUCCAGCACAGCAGCAUGAGACGAUUUAUUAAGCUUUCUUCAACUUUUGUUUUAUAAAUAAUAACAAUCAUUGUUGAAUUGUUGAAACAAGAAAAUGUGUUUUUUCUUAAUGUAUACAACCUAACGUUCUUUUCUGCAUGCUGCAGGACAGGAAGAAGCAGGAACAGCAAAACGUACGUGAGGAGGCGGCACGUGCUAUUAUUAUUAUAGAGUGCUGGCGGGAGGGGGAAGAGGAGGAAGAGGAGGAGGAGGAGGAGGAGGAGGAGGAGGAGGAGGAGGAGGAGGAGGAGGAGGAGGAGGAGGAGGAGGAGGAGGAGGAGGAGGAGGAGCAUCAGGCUGAGACGUGGAGAGCAGCAGCACUGCUGUGGAGGAGGAGCAGGAGCAGGAGCAGGAGAUAAUGCUGGAUAAAGAUCGAGGCGGAGGAGCAGGAGCAGGAGUAGGAGCAGGAGCAGAAAGAAGACUAGCAGCAGCAAGCCCCUCCAAANNNNNNNNNNNNNNNNNNNNNNNNNNNNNNNNNNNNNNNNNNNNNNNNNNGUUCAGCUCCCUGCAGCAGAAAAAUAAUGAAGCCCUACCUAAUAAUAAGCAAAACACCCCUCCAUGAUGACACGAUAUGGCGGCCGCAGCAGCAGAGUUUGGUACUGCUAAUAAUAAUAGCAACAACAGUAAAUGUACAUCCAUCAGCUUAUUGUUGCCGUUGCCACCACUCAACAAAAGCUACAACAGAUACAACUACUACGACUACUACUAGCAAUAUACCUCUUUUUUUGUCUUAUCACAGAGCAGCACACAGAAGAGCACAUACACGUCUGUAUACAUCUGUGUACAGAGACGCGGCGUGUCGUGCACACAUGUACU